rnacentral:rRNA from 1 species
UACGUAGGUGGCAAGCGUUGUCCGGAUUUACUGGGCGUAAAGAGCGCGCAGGCGGUCGUUCAAGUCGCGUGUGAAAGCCCCCGGCUCAACUGGGGAGGGUCACGCGAUACUGAUCGACUCGAAGGCAGGAGAGGGAAGUGGAAUUCCUGGUGUAGCGGUGAAAUGCGCAGAUAUCAGGAGGAACACCGGUGGCGAAGGCGGAUCUCUGGGCCUUGCCUGACGCUGAGGCGCGAAAGCUAGGGGAGCGAACAGG